rnacentral:sRNA from 1 species
UCUACUCUUCCUCUUCC